GCGGGUUUAGCUCAGUUGGGGUAUGUUACCACAGAGUCCUCGUUCAAGAUGCACAACUAACCUUCACUGACAGAGAGCGUCAGACUGAAGAUCUGAAGGUCAUGUGUUCGAUCCACAUAAACCGCA